GUAGCGGCGAGCGAACGGGGAGCAGCCCAGAGCCUGAAUCAGUGUGUGUGUUAGUGGAAGCGUCUGGAAAGGCGCGCGAUACAGGGUGACAGCCCCGUACACAAAAAUGCACAUACUGUGAGCUCGAUGAGUAGGGCGGGACACGUGGUAUCCUGUCUGAAUAUGGGGGGACCAUCCUCCAAGGCUAAAUACUCCUGACUGACCGAUAGUGAACCAGUACCGUGAGGGAAAGGCGAAAAGAACCCCGGCGAGGGGAGUGAAAAAGAACCUGAAACCGUGUACGUACAAGCAGUGGGAGCACGCUUAGGCGUGUGACUGCGUACCUUUUGUAUAAUGGGUCAGCGACUUAUAUUCUGUAGCAAGGUUAACCGAAUAGGGGAGCCGAAGGGAAACCGAGUCUUAACUGGGCGUUAAGUUGCAGGGUAUAGACCCGAAACCCGGUGAUCUAGCCAUGGGCAGGUUGAAGGUUGGGUAACACUAACUGGAGGACCGAACCGACUAAUGUUGAAAAAUUAGCGGAUGACUUGUGGCUGGGGGUGAAAGGCCAAUCAAACCGGGAGAUAGCUGGUUCUCCCCGAAAGCUAUUUAGGUAGCGCCUCGUGAAUUCAUCUCCGGGGGUAGAGCACUGUUUCGGCAAGGGGGUCAUCCCGACUUACCAACCCGAUGCAAACUGCGAAUACCGGAGAAUGUUAUCACGGGAGACACACGGCGGGUGCUAACGUCCGUCGUGAAGAGGGAAACAACCCAGACCGCCAGCUAAGGUCCCAAAGUCAUGGUUAAGUGGGAAACGAUGUGGGAAGGCCCAGACAGCCAGGAUGUUGGCUUAGAAGCAGCCAUCAUUUAAAGAAAGCGUAAUAGCUCACUGGUCGAGUCGGCCUGCGCGGAAGAUGUAACGGGGCUAAACCAUGCACCGAAGCUGCGGCAGCGACGCUUAUGCGUUGUUGGGUAGGGGAGCGUUCUGUAAGCCUGCGAAGGUGUGCUGUGAGGCAUGCUGGAGGUAUCAGAAGUGCGAAUGCUGACAUAAGUAACGAUAAAGCGGGUGAAAAGCCCGCUCGCCGGAAGACCAAGGGUUCCUGUCCAACGUUAAUCGGGGCAGGGUGAGUCGACCCCUAAGGCGAGGCCGAAAGGCGUAGUCGAUGGGAAACAGGUUAAUAUUCCUGUACUUGGUGUUACUGCGAAGGGGGGACGGAGAAGGCUAUGUUGGCCGGGCGACGGUUGUCCCGGUUUAAGCGUGUAGGCUGGUUUUCCAGGCAAAUCCGGAAAAUCAAGGCUGAGGCGUGAUGACGAGGCACUACGGUGCUGAAGCAACAAAUGCCCUGCUUCCAGGAAAAGCCUCUAAGCAUCAGGUAACAUCAAAUCGUACCCCAAACCGACACAGGUGGUCAGGUAGAGAAUACCAAGGCGCUUGAGAGAACUCGGGUGAAGGAACUAGGCAAAAUGGUGCCGUAACUUCGGGAGAAGGCACGCUGAUAUGUAGGUGAAGUCCCUCGCGGAUGGAGCUGAAAUCAGUCGAAGAUACCAGCUGGCUGCAACUGUUUAUUAAAAACACAGCACUGUGCAAACACGAAAGUGGACGUAUACGGUGUGACGCCUGCCCGGUGCCGGAAGGUUAAUUGAUGGGGUUAGCGCAAGCGAAGCUCUUGAUCGAAGCCCCGGUAAACGGCGGCCGUAACUAUAACGGUCCUAAGGUAGCGAAAUUCCUUGUCGGGUAAGUUCCGACCUGCACGAAUGGCGUAAUGAUGGCCAGGCUGUCUCCACCCGAGACUCAGUGAAAUUGAACUCGCUGUGAAGAUGCAGUGUACCCGCGGCAAGACGGAAAGACCCCGUGAACCUUUACUAUAGCUUGACACUGAACAUUGAGCCUUGAUGUGUAGGAUAGGUGGGAGGCUUUGAAGUGUGGACGCCAGUCUGCAUGGAGCCGACCUUGAAAUACCACCCUUUAAUGUUUGAUGUUCUAACGUUGACCCGUGAUCCGGGUUGCGGACAGUGUCUGGUGGGUAGUUUGACUGGGGCGGUCUCCUCCUAAAGAGUAACGGAGGAGCACGAAGGUUGGCUAAUCCUGGUCGGACAUCAGGAGGUUAGUGCAAUGGCAUAAGCCAGCUUGACUGCGAGCGUGACGGCGCGAGCAGGUGCGAAAGCAGGUCAUAGUGAUCCGGUGGUUCUGAAUGGAAGGGCCAUCGCUCAACGGAUAAAAGGUACUCCGGGGAUAACAGGCUGAUACCGCCCAAGAGUUCAUAUCGACGGCGGUGUUUGGCACCUCGAUGUCGGCUCAUCACAUCCUGGGGCUGAAGUAGGUCCCAAGGGUAUGGCUGUUCGCCAUUUAAAGUGGUACGCGAGCUGGGUUUAGAACGUCGUGAGACAGUUCGGUCCCUAUCUGCCGUGGGCGCUGGAGAACUGAGGGGGGCUGCUCCUAGUACGAGAGGACCGGAGUGGACGCAUCACUGGUGUUCGGGUUGUCAUGCCAAUGGCACUGCCCGGUAGCUAAAUGCGGAAGAGAUAAGUGCUGAAAGCAUCUAAGCACGAAACUUGCCCCGAGAUGAGUUCUCCCUGACUCCUUGAGAGUCCUGAAGGAACGUUGAAGACGACGACGUUGAUAGGCCGGGUGUGUAAGCGCAGCGAUGCGUUGAGCUAACCGGUACUAAUGAACCGUGAGGCUUAACCUU
rnacentral:rRNA from 1 species